AGACUUAGAAGAGAUCAAGCCAUGGUUGGUCUUUAUUCCAGUGGUCAGUGUGUUCUUGUUCGUUUGCACUGGUCCUGUUUACUGCAGGAUCAAAAGAAGACGACAAAAUCGGAAAAAUGUACAGAGUGUUGAUGAAAUGCCUGAAAGCCUUGUUCCGUUGUGUGGAAACCCAUCGCCAGGCUCGGGCCAUGUCGUGCUGCCACCAGCGACAAUUCCCAGUUGUAACCACGUGUGAUGUGUCAGGACUAAAACAGACUUUAUGGAGGAUAUAAUGUAUCAACUAAAUAUCCAUGUAUUCUGAAACAAAGGGCAGGCAUGUGAAUACGGCUGAUUGAAGAUUUUUGUAUGUGAUAUUAACCAAGUUUAGUAGAAGUGUAAUUGGAAAACUAAAUCGUUACAGUUUUCUAAUCUCCUAGCUUAAUCAAGUGUGCUAAGUUCACCAUGUCUAUUUUUUUCUAAACUAGACAUUUUACCGUAGGCCUACAUAUGGAUUUUACCACGUACUUUAUCGUUUAUUUCUUUUAUUGUGUUUGAUGACACCAAAAUCCAUGAUAAGAGCUUUGUGUCUGAUACGUGUGUAAAUAUUGAAUUGCCUUAACAUGUUAAUCUUUUGACUUCAAGUUUUAUGUCUCAAACUGAACCUUUCCAGCUGAUGAAGGAAAACUCUAGUUUCUUGUAGUUUCUUCACUGGUUCUCAAGAUAGUGGAUAAAGCUCCACAAACUGAACCCAGAAAAGGAGGCGGUAGAAACGUCGUGCUGACACCGGGUCAACCAAUCAUGUUUCCUUGCUUUGGCCUAUCAGUGCUUAGAGCCAAGAGAGUCAACAACGAGUACCAUUUUUUAAAGCCUUUGUUAUGAUCCGCCCCUCGUUAUAUCCCAGUUAUACCUCACUAAGUCCAGUCCUUACAUGAUAAGUUCUUCUAUCGUAAAACUGAGAAUUCAAUUCUUGUCAAACAUGACUUAGUUGAACUUGACAAUGUGUCGAAGCAGUCUGCUGAUUUUAUUUAGUGGACAAGACCCGGCUGUUCAAACUACACCUAAUAAGUGUAUUAAGUCAUGUAAUAUAGUUACGAUUUUAACAGAACACAGCAUCCAAUACAGCUGCACAGAGAAAAAAUGCCACAACAUCAGAUUUAGUUCGUAUUUAAUAUAAUGUUCUUUUUGUGUCACGAUACGAGCUUGAAGUACUGAUUUGAAGAUAAAUGUGGUAUAAAAUCACUUUUGAACGACCUGAUCAUGAUAUACUUGUGUAUAAUGUGACUUCUUUUCAUGUCAUAACCCUUCCAUUUCUUUUUCUCUGGUUUAAGCAAUUGUUCUUAGUGAUAUUAGGUACAAGUACGGUGACACGAGUGCCUACUGGUAUUCAUCAAAUGGCCGCCAGUAUCACUUGGUUUUAAGACCAUGGAAGUACUGAAACUACUGAACGUGUAGCCCACCCUGAGGAGGCCCGGCUAUGAGGCCAUGAUGGUGAACCCCAUUGUCAUCCAAAUGAUGAAUAUGGUGUAUAUAUGGUGUUGAAUUUGCUGGUUCCUUUUUUACAAUUCAGGUAUGGAUUGGCUAUUUACAAUGUUUGUUUUUUAAAUUGUCGAAUGGUUUAUUUUAAAAGACUGGGUAUUCAAUUUGUGGUUUAAGAGAAUAGGCGUCUGGUGCUACUGUGUACGUACAAUGUACAUGUAAUUCAGUGGAGUGAAAUAGUCUAGAGUAUGGCCUAAAACACCAAUCAAAUAAAUAAAUAAAUACAAUAAUGGAAGAAAUCUGCUGUGUACGCACAACGUACAUGUAAUUCAGUUUAGUGAAAUGGAGUUAAAACACUGUUUUAACAAGGAUGUCGGUAUCAGAUGACAUGUCUAGGCUUGGAACGGGUUUUUUCGUUUAAUUCUUGUGAAUCAAGAUGUAAAUGUAAACUUCUCAUUAAGCUGCAAAACAAGCUGUUGUGAUAAACCUCUUGCUAUUUCUGCAGUACAUGUAUACAGUAAAGUGUAGUGGAACUAAUCAACAUGGGGAUAGUUCUCAAACAGUAAAGUGUAGUAGAACUAAUCCACAUGGGCAUAGAGCUCAAACAGUAAAGUGUAGUGGAAUUAAUCAACAUGGGGAUAGUUCUCAAACAGUAAAGUGUAGUAGAACUAAUCCACAUGGGCAUAGAGCUCAAACAGUAAAGUGUAGUAGAACUAAUUAACAUGGGCAUAGAGCGCAAACAGUAAAGUGUAGUAGAACUAAUUCACAUGGGCAUAGAGCUCAAACAGUAAAGUGUAGUAGAACUAAUCCACAUGGGCAUAGUGCUCAAACAGUAAAGUGUAGUAGAACUAAUUAACAUGGGGAUAGUUCUCAAACAGUAAAGUGUAGUAUAACUAACCAACAUGGGAGUUGUGCUCAAACAGUAAAGUGUAGUAGAACUAAUCCCUAUCUGGAUAGUGCUCAAACUGUAAAGUGUAGUAGAACUAACCAACAUGGGAGUUGUGCUCAAACAGUAAAGUGUAGUAGAACUAAUCCAUAUGGGGACAGUGCUCAAACUGGUUGAUGGUUUUUUCCUCUAAGCAUCUAGCAUCACACUGAAAUUGCACACUAAUUUGUUUAAGCUAGAGUUCCGCGAAGGCCAGUUUACAAUCGCCCAAUUCAGUUUGUGCUCAGAACAUAUGUUGUAAAUUGAAAUCUUUCACAUGUGUGUAUUUUAUAGACGCUCUGCAAUGAAAUAAUGCUUUUUUAUGUAUAACCUUUAUUUGUAUAAGACGUGUGUAACACGUGCUUGUUAUAAAAAAUAUAUUGAUUUUCAUUGUUUAUGAAAUGUGGUGUACAUUCAUGAUAAGGAGAUUUAAUCUGAACAUAGCUGUGUCUUGAGAAUUGUCUGUGUUACAUAGUGUCUUCUCGUCAUUUAAAUUGUGAAUUUUAUUAUAACGCUCAGAGCAUUGUACUUUGUUAAUUGUUUAGUUUUGCCAAUGUAUAGCCUUGUCAUAAAUGUUAAUCUUACAUAUUACAGGUUAUAUUUCGUUCCACAGUUAUAUCGUAUAUUGCAUAUAUGUCGUCAACACCAUAUGAACAACAAGCCUUACUGGUUUAGCCCGACUUACCAUAGGCGGGAAUGGUUCCUCGUUAGAUAUAUUAACGCUAACACAAUACCGUUAUCGUCCUUGUACCUGCUUUUGUUUAUUGUUGGAUUUUCCCUCAGAAUCGUUGUAAUUUUAAGUAAACUAAUCAGUUAUGCCAUGAGACGAAUAGACAUUCUCUCCUUAGAUAUUUUCACGUCGUGAUUUUUAACUUGAAGUUGUGGUUAUAAAAUGCUUAUUACGAUUUUAAUUUUGUAUAAAUUUAGUUUCCAUGUCAUGCUUUCAAUUCUAAUCUUUGUACAUGUUUUUAAAGGAGAGUUUUCGUGACUGUGUCAUAAAUGUUUAUUUUCUAUCGUAUGUAUCGUACAUAGUUUAUAAUUACUUUGAUAAAUAUCGAAAUUUAUCUGUGAUAAAAUAUUUUGUAAAUACAAAUAGAGCAGCUAUGAGUGAGCAGGAUUCUAUGUUUAUAGUCAGCAAUACUUGGGAUUAAUUUUUAAUUUAAUAUAUUGGUAAUGGGCAGACUCAUGCACGGUACGAGUCGUGUGUAUGUAUAUUCUUACAUCGUAUAAAAGUUGUUGGCUAUUCAGUAUUUUAUGAAUAAAAUUUUAAUCCAAUAA